ACUUAAAUUGAAGAGUUUGAUCAUGGCUCAGAUUGAACGCUGGCGGCAGGCCUAACACAUGCAAGUCGAACGGUAGCACAGAGAGCUUGCUCUCGGGUGACGAGUGGCGGACGGGUGAGUAAUGUCUGGGAAACUGCCUGAUGGAGGGG
rnacentral:rRNA from 1 species